UGUCUCGUCAAAGCUUGAUGGUGGACGUGCCUGAUGUCUGAUGCUCGAGGAAACACUGGGACGUUACCUGAGCUGUGUCUGGCAUGGUGACAGUCUACCCGCUGUGGUCGGUCACUGAUGCUGAAGGUGACCCUUCCGUUGGGCGGAACUUCAGAGGAGUCAAAACUGAUGUCAUACAUGGAGAACCGAGGCAGGUGACGAGUGAUUUCAAACACGUGGAACUGUGUGCUGGAGGGGACAAAAACCAUGAGGAGAGUUGAAUCCUGGAUUGGUGGCUGCCGACCCUGCCCACGGAGAGUAUUGGCUGUGCAGGAGGAUCCAUGAUAUUUGAACCAGGGACAGCCAGCGUUCGCCCUCUCUCCCUCGCCUCAACCAGCAACUUUUUGUCAUCUAGAUGGUUAUGAGAAAUCUUGUGCAUAGUAGGGGUGGGCUGCCAUUUCUUAUGAUCCUGUUUUCUCCUGUUUAUGUUAGCUUAAGAAGAUUAGAAUUGUGUUUUGGUUUGGCAUAGGAGUAGGGUUUUGUUUGAUACUUAGGGAACGUUUUCUUUGUUGUUUUGGCCUUGGUGCACCCUGAAGCUAUUUUCUUUCAUUUUGUAAGACAUUGUGAAGAGUCAUAUAAUAAAUA